AAUCCAGAAAUAGACAAGAAAGAGGGUUGAAACCUUCAUGACAAUGCUAGAGAAUUAACAGUGAGAGAUGCAUUAAGCAACAACACAGUUUUGCCUUUUACAAGCUCCCUGAGGUUUUUAUUUCAGUCAGAGGACCAAGAUUUCAGUUCAAGUCACUGGAAGAAAAGAGCUGUCAUUUAUGCUCUCUACUUACAGGUAAAUUGUCUUGUGAUUAUUUCCACAGAACUCUGACUUGGAUAAGACUUGUAUCCAUUUUAUUACGAUGUUCUUCUUUUUUACAAUUUAGUUCCCCAGAGGGCAAGACCAAGCUACCUAAGAUCGGAACCCUCUGAUAAUUUGUGCUGCUAUUUUAAGAUCCAGUUCCAUUCUACAACUGGCUGAAGCAUGAAGUCAACUAAAAUAAACUGAAUUGAGUGGAACUGAACUGAACUGAAGUGAAAUAAUGUGAUUUCCAGUAAACCUGACACCUUAAGGACAGAACAUGAGCCUUGCCCAUCUUCCUCCCAGAGGUCCCAGCACAAUCACCGACUCACACAAUACUCUCAGUGCAUGAGUGAUGAAUUUCACUAACAGCGACCCAUCUCUCUACAUAAUCCACUCCGGUUUCACCAGAGCUGAGAGUAUCAUGAAUUACAUCUAUAGAUAGCUGUAAGCUAAUGACCAAAGCACAUAACUGAAUUCAAACAUAUUCUUUAUUGCAGUCAGAUGUGAGAAAACAAAAUUUAGAAGACAAGCCAGAAAGGAAAUGAAGAACAUAAAGAGCCUGAAUUCUCAUCGUCAAUUUUUCCCUGACUGACUCCGUUUUCCUCUCUUCUUUCCAUUUACCUUUCUGUUCCCAUCCCCAUCAUUUUUGUAGUGUUUAUUGAGUGUCUGCUGCAUGCCAGUCAAUGUGCUGAGUACUUUUCAUGUGUUAUACCAUUUGAUCGUCACAGCAGCACACUAUUAUAAUUAUGAAUAUGAUUCCACAUACUAUAUCUAAAAUUUAACUUAAUUUUACAUAGGAGGAAGCUGAGACUUGCCCAAGACUACUCCAUUAGUAAGAUGUGAACCAAGUGAACCAUGUCUGACUCAAACCUAACCCCUGAUUCUCUGAAUCCAUAUCACCGUAGAACUCAACAGUGAAAUAUUGGGGUAGAGGUAAUGCUAUUAGUACACAAACUAUGCACAGAUUUACAAGCAACUAAACAGGAACUCAUGGCCAGGCACAAUGGUUCAUGCC
rnacentral:lncRNA from 1 species